GACGAACGCUGGCGGCGUGCUUAACACAUGCAAGUGGUGCGACGAACCAGGGCUUGCCCUGGGGCAGAGCCGCGAACGGGUGAGUAACACGUGGGUAACGUGCCCCGAUGACUGGGACAACCCGGGGAAACCCGGGCUAAUACCGGAUGUGCUCCCUCACCUCGGUGAGACGAGCAAAGGAAGCUUCGGCCUCCGCGUUGGGAUCGGCCCGCGGCCCAUUAGCUUGUUGGUGAGGUAACGGCNCACCAAGGCUGCGAUGGGUAGCUGGUCUGAGAGGACGAUCAGCCACACUGGGACUGAGACACGGCCCAGACUCCUACGGGAGGCAGCAGUGGGGAAUCUUGCGCAAUGCGCGACAGCGUGACGCAGCAACGCCGCGUGAAGGAUGAAAUCCCUCGGGAUGUAAACUUCGCAAGAAUGGGAAGAAUUAGCGAGCGCUAAUACCGCUCGUGAUGACGGUACCAUUUGUAA
rnacentral:rRNA from 1 species